AGCUCAUGCUUGAAGCAUUUCGUUUACUGCAUGACCCUAACUAACGGCCAUCAAUCAUCGGCUGGUACACUCUGUGUGAUUUCGACUGGUACGCUCGGUACGGGGCUAAAUUGCUACAGAAGAGGCUCUUAGAUCAAAGCGGCCUUUUGGUGAGUGAGUGCCUCCCUAAAAACCUCUGCUUCAAAGCGGGGGGUGACGCACACACACAGAUAGUGCCACGAUGUUCCAUUCUGGAAGAACACAGUCAAGGCCAAACACUAGUGGUCCGGUCAGACCUGUGAAACUUGAGCACUAACACGUGAAAUUACGCAUGCUAACAUGAGAUGAUUUUAGCAACGCCUCAUCAACAGGUUUCACGUCAUUUGGGGUAUAAACAUGGAGUCAGAUCAGAGGGGGGUGAGAGCUUAUGCUGGGACGGCUGUUAGACGGUCUUUCAUGUGAGGGUUCUCCUGAAUAUUCAGUACUUUGUAAUAAAUACUUGGUUUGCUUUCAACUUCA